ACUUAAAACACGUCUAAAAUGGUAAAUUUUUGUAGUAAUCUACUUAAAUCCUCCACUUUUCUUCUACAACCCCAUUAAAUAUGGUAAAAGUUGAACAUCAAAGUUACUCUCAACGGCAACUUGGCAACGGAGUUUAUAAAUGACAAUUUUCAGCUGUAAAAGCAACGUCAGAGGGAAUAGCAACUGCAACGGGAACUUCAACGUCAACAUCAAGUUUAUAAAUCCCACUUUAGCUUUGAAACUGCAAAACCGAGGGCUAUGAAAUCUUGCAAACGCGUUAGGAUUAUCCUAAGCAUUGUCAAAAUAAGCGCGGAAAGUUCUGUCUAAGUAAACUGGACGAAUUUAUUCGUUCUUGCCAAAUAUACUGUAGAAUUAAUGGAACUGUAAAGUAGGAGUAAAAGGACAGAGUCGACUUCUUCGUAUCAGCGAGGUACCUUUAGGAAUUGGAAAACUGACCGCAGCGCGAAGUGACCAACACCCACAUCAAGCUGGCCACGAUGUCAAAGGGCUCCGUUGUAGAGGUUCAAUUUUGAUAUUAUUUCAAAUGUAAUAACAGUAACAAAUCCACUACUUUGGGAAAUAUGUCUAAUAAAAUUAUUAACAGACA